GUUAUUCAGCGGCCCUUCACCUGCUUUGAUGAAAUAAGGCAAUUACUGCGAGACAAGAACGAGAAGUGCAGGGGACGGCAGUCAGGCGUUUACUUAAAGUGGAGUUUCUACUUCAAAGAGCCGGAGGAGCCGCAGCGGAGCGAGAACCAGAUACAGAGAAGAGAGGAGAGGAGAGCUCACCACCUCAUCAGAAACACAUCUGAUAUUCCUCUCACCCUAAUCCUCACACACAGCCCGCCAUUAGCCCCCACACACACACACAGAAACACACACACCUACAUCAGUGAAGGGUCUCUCCGGCCCAGGACAGUGUGUGAGUUGUGUGUGUAAGGAGUCAAAGAGGAUUGUGGAACUUGGCAGGAUUAGGUGAUCCUGGGAAGAAACUUUCCACGGCUCUCCAAAGCCAGAGAAUGUCAUGGGAAUUGUCUCUAAACACAAGUGCUGACCCCCCUCUUGACACACACACACACACACACACACUUACACUCAUAGCCACAUAUCACCACGGCAUGAACUCACUGCAUUAACAUAAAUAGAAUGAGAACUGAGAACAGCAGAGCACAACAAAAGAGCCACUGUGAGAGAGAGAAAGAAAGAGAGAGAGAGAGAGAGGGAGGAUGUGUGGAAGUGUAGAGUACAGCGCCAUCUACAGGAGACAUCAGCUCAUGUAGAAAGAGAGACUUGGGCACAUCAGAAAACACCAUUGAAGAUCAUUAACAAAAACUGCAAUCAAAUAAAAGAGUUUUACUCUGAAGAAAAAAAAAAAAAAAUUCUGUAAAACCCUGUACAAGAACAUGUCCAUUAUUCAGCACCGAAUCCCCAAAUCAAAGUACUGUGGUAUCAUGUACAUUACAGUUCUUGUUUGACAGAUAUCAAUAAACAGUUAUAAUUACACACUAAUAUAGUGGAUAUAUAAUUUAUUGGAUGCUAACUGGUCAUAAAAUAUUCCAAUUGUGCUAAAACACAUUCUUCACAGCAUCCAUCGAUAUAAAUUAUUAAACUUAGUUUACAUGAAUAGAUCUACAGUACUAGUAAAACUACAGAAAACUACAUUUUAAUCAAAUAAUGCUAUAUUUUUUAUUCAAUAACCAUUAUAUACUAUAAAACCAAUCUGGUAUUUGAGGUCAUGUUAUUUUGUGAAUAUAGUCACUCUGUGUAUUUUUACAAUGUAAUUCAUAUUAUAACACAACCUUGUAUGCUUUUGCUUUUAUACAUCUUUCUAUAGCUGCAACUUCUCUGUUUCUCUUUCUCUUUAAAAAAAAAACCUCAAAAAAAGACACAAAGACUCUGCAUGCACAUGUUGCAUAACCAGUUCUUUAACUUUAUCAAAUAUUUUAUAUGAAAAUGAAUUUGUGUAACUUAAGUCUGGUAAAUUUUCACCAUUUUUAAUCAGCUUUUGCCUUUAGUAGUUCAAUUGAAAUGAUCCUGCAGUGUGACAAAUGAAUUUGUUUUGCAUGUAUUCGCUCAAUUAAUAUAAAAGCGGCAUAUUACUUAUAAAAGAGUGAGCUAAAUGCAGUUUAAAAUAGUUCUGGAUGCAGUAUAGCACGUCA
ensembl:lncRNA